CUCCGGGUGGUCUAGUUGGUUCAUGGCGUCCGGCUGUAAUUUGCCUCAGUUUAACCGGAAUGUCGCGUGUUCGAUUCACGCCCUGGAGA
rfam:Purpureocillium lilacinum isolate PLFJ-1 scaffold00011, whole genome shotgun sequence.